AUGAAAGGGGUUUUUUGGAAUUGUAGGGGAGUGGGUAAAAAAGGCAUGUCCACCUGCCUCAUUGACAUGAUAAGUGCCAAUGAAUUGGAUUUUAUUGGACUUCAGGAAACUAUGAAGAAGUCGUAUACUCCUGCUUUCUUUAGGCAAAUUGACCCUUAUCAGAAGUUUCAUUGGGAAUGGAUCCCUUCAAGGGGGAAAUCUGGUGGCAUUCUUUGUGGG
rnacentral:rRNA from 1 species